GACGAACGCUGGCGGCGUGCUUAACACAUGCAAGUCGAACGAUGAAGCCGGAGCUUGCUCUGGUGAAUUAGUGGCGAACGGGUGAGUAACACGUGAGUAACCUGCCCUUGACUCUGGAAUAACUGCGGGAAACUGUAGCUAAUACCGGAUACGACCCUCGGAGGCAUCUCCUGGGGGUGGAAAGAAUUUCGGUCAAGGAUGGACUCGCGGCCUAUCAGCUAGUUGGUGAGGUAAAGGCUCACCAAGGCGACGACGGGUAGCCGGCCUGAGAGGGUGACCGGCCACACUGGGACUGAGACACGGCCCAGACUCCUACGGGAGGCAGCAGUGGGGAAUAUUGCACAAUGGGCGCAAGCCUGAUGCAGCAACGCCGCGUGAGGGAUGACGGCCUUCGGGUUGUAAACCUCUUUUAGCAGGGAAGAAGCGAAAGUGACGGUACCUGCAGAAAAAGCACCGGCUAACUACGUGCCAGCCGCCGCCUAA
rnacentral:rRNA from 1 species